rnacentral:rRNA from 1 species
GACGAACGCUGGCGGCGUGCCUAACACAUGCAAGUCGAACGAACUCUGGUAUCGAUUGGUGCUUGCAUCAUGAUUUACAUUUGAGUGAGUGGCGAACUGGUGAGUAACACGUAGGAAACCUGCCCAGAAGCGGGGGAUAACACCUGGAAACAGAUGCUAAUACCGCAUAACAACUUGAACCGCAUGGUUCGAGUUUGAAAGAUGGCUCUGCUAUCACUUCUGGAUGGUCCUGCGGCGUAUUAGCUAGAUGGUGAGGUAACGGCUCACCAUGGCAAUGAUACGUAGCCGACCUGAGAGGGUAAUCGGCCACAUUGGGACUGAGACACGGCCCAAACUCCUACGGGAGGCAGCAGUAGGGAAUCUUCCACAAUGGACGAAAGUCUGAUGGAGCAACGCCGCGUGAGUGAAGAAGGGUUUCGGCUCGUAAAACUCUGUUGUUAGGGAAGAACAUAUCUGAGAGUAACUGUUCAGGUAUUGACGGUAUCUAACCAGAAAGCCACGGCUAACUACGUGCCAGCCGCCGCGGUAA